UUUAAAUGGCCGCAGUAUUUUAACUGUGCAAAGGUAGCAUAAUCAUUAGUCUUUUAAUUGAAGGCUGGUAUGAAUGGUUGGACGAAAUAUUAACUGUUUCAUAAAAAUUUUUAUUAAAAUUUUAUUUUUUAGUAAAAAAGCUAAAAUUUAUUUAAAAGACGAGAAGACCCUAUAAAUCUUUAUAUUUAAAUUAUUAAAAUUUUAUAGAUUUUUUUUAUUAUAAUAAUUAAUAAUAUUUUAUUGGGGUGAUAUUAAAAUUUAAUGAACUUUUAAUAAAAAUUAUCAUUGAUUUAUGAAUAAUUGAUCCAUUAAUAGUGAUUAAAAAUUUAAGUUACUUUAGGGAUAACAGCGUAAUUUUUUUGGAGAGUUCUUAUCGAUAAAAAAGAUUGCGACCUCGAUGUUGGAUUAAGAUAUAAUUUUAGGUGUAGUAGCUUAAAUUUUGAGUCU
rnacentral:rRNA from 1 species